UACAGAGGGUGCAAGCGUUAAUCGGAAUUACUGGGCGUAAAGCGCACGUAGGUGGGUUGGUUAGUUGUUGGUAAAAAGCUUGGGCUUAACCUGAGUCUGUCCAGCAAAACUGCCAGUCUAGAGUGUAUUAGAGGGGAGUGGAAUUUCCGGUGUAGCAGUGAAAUGCGUAGAUAUCGGAAGGAACACCAGUGGCGAAGGCGACUCCCUGGAAUAUAACUGACACUGAGGUGCGAAAGCGUGGGGAGCAAAC
rnacentral:rRNA from 1 species